CGUAGGCGGCCUGCUAAGUCUGGAGUGAAAGUCCUGCUUUCAAGGUGGGAAUUGCUUUGGAUACUGGUGGGCUGGAGUGCAGGAGAGGAAAGCGGAAUUACCGGUGUAGCGGUGAAAUGCGUAGAGAUCGGUAGGAACACCAGUGGCGAAGGCGGCUUUCUGGACUGAAACUGACGCUGAGGCGCGAAAGCGUGGGGAGCAAACA
rnacentral:rRNA from 1 species